rnacentral:rRNA from 1 species
UGUAAGAGCGGGCUGGAACCUCUCGGGGUUACAGCCUUGCUGAAUUAUUCACCCUUGUCUUUUGCGUACUUCUUGUUUCCUUGGUGGGUUCGCCCACCACUAGGACAAACAUAAACCUUUUGUAAUUGCAAUCAGCGUCAGUAACAAAUUAAUAAUUACAACUUUCAACAACGGAUCUCUUGGUUCUGGCAUCGAUGAAGAACGCAGCGAAAUGCGAUAAGUAGUGUGAAUUGCAGAAUUCAGUGAAUCAUCGAAUCUUUGAACGCACAUUGCGCCCUUUGGUAUUCCAAAGGGCAUGCCUGUUCGAGCGUCAUUUGUACCCUCAAGCUUUGCUUGGUGUUGGGCGUCUUGUCUCUAGCUUUGCUGGAGACUCGCCUUAAAGUAAUUGGCAGCCGGCCUACUGGUUUCGGAGCGCAGCACAAGUCGCACUCUCUAUCAGCAAAGGUCUAGCAUCCAUUAAGCCUUUUUUUCAACUUUUGACCUCGGAUCAGGUAGGGAUACCCGCUGAACUUAAGCAUAUCAAUAAGCCGGGAGGAGAA